CGAACGCUUGCGGCGUGCUUAACACAUGCAAGUCGAACGAGAAAGGGGACUUCGGUUCCUGAGUAAAGUGGCGCACGGGUGAGUAACGCGUAGAUAAUCUACCCAGGUAUUUGGGACAACAUCGGGAAACUGAUGCUAAUACCGAAUACGUUUCUUUUGUUGCGAAACAGAAGAAAGAAAGGUGGCCUCUCCUUGGAAGCUACCGUACUUGGAUGAGUCUGCGUACCAUUAGCUAGUUGGUAGGGUAAUGGCCUACCAAGGCUACGAUGGUUAGCGGGUCUGAGAGGAUGAUCCGCCACACUGGCACUGGAACACGGGCCAGACUCCUACGGGAGGCAGCAGUGAGGAAUUUUGCACAAUGGGGGAAACCCUGAUGCAGCGACGCCGCGUGAGUGAUGAAGGCUUUCGAGUCGUAAAGCUCUGUCAAUAGGGAAGAAAUGUUAUGAGGUUAAUAUCCUUGUAGUUUGACGGUACCUAUAAAGGAAGCACCGGCUAACUCC
rnacentral:rRNA from 1 species